GACCUCGAAAAUAAUCUAUGUCCAAGCGUGUGGAAAGACACCGAAGCUGCUACGUUGCUGGAAAGACACCGAAGCUGCCUCGCCGCCUGAAUUGUAGUCUGGAGAGGCGUCCUCAGCGACGGUCCGGGCCCAAGUUCUCUGGAAAGGGAUGCCUGGGAGGGUGAGAGCCCCGUCCGGCCCGGACCCUGUCGCACCACGAGGCGCCGUCAACGAGUCGGGUGUUUUGGGAAUGCAGCCCAAAUCGGGCGGUAAACUCCGUCCAAGGCUAAAUACAGGCGAGAGACCGAUAGCGAACAAGUACCGUGAGGGAAAGAUGAAAAGGACUUUGAAAAGAGAGUCAAAGAGUGCUUGAAAUUGCAGGGAGGGAAGCGGAUGGGGGCUGGCGACGUGCCCCGGCCGUAUGCGGAACGACUCCUGUUGGUCCGCCUAUCGGCUCGGGGCGUGGACCGUUGUCGCCCGCGCCAGCGGCCAAAGCCCGGGGGCCCAGGCGCCCCCGGCAGCCAUCGUCGACGCGGACGGUAUCCGCGCGCCUCUUGCGCGCCCCUCGGGGCGCUGCGCCACAAUGGUCUGCGAGCUCCCCAUCCGACCCAUCUUGAAACACAG
rnacentral:ncRNA from 1 species